AACGAACGCUGGCGGCAGGCUUAACACAUGCAAGUCGAACGCCCCGCCAGGGGAGUGGCCGACGGGUGAGUAACGCGUGGGAAUCUACCCAUCCCUACGGAAUAACGCAUGGAAACGUGUGCUAAUACCGUAUACGCCCUACGGGGGAAAGAUUUAUCGGGGAUGGAUGAGCCCGCGUUGGAUUAGCUAGUUGGUGGGGUAAAGGCCUACCAAGGCGACGAUCCAUAGCUGGUCUGAGAGGAUGAUCAGCCACAUUGGGACUGAGACACGGCCCAAACUCCUACGGGAGGCAGCAGUGGGGAAUAUUGGACAAUGGGCGCAAGCCUGAUCCAGCCAUGCCGCGUGAGUGAUGAAGGCCUUAGGGUUGUAAAGCUCUUUCACCGGAGAAGAUAAUGACGGUAGCCGGAGAAGAAGCCCCGGCUAACUUCGUG
rnacentral:rRNA from 1 species